rnacentral:lncRNA from 1 species
AGCCCUGAAGCCCCGAGCAGGGGCGGAGGUGGCAGCGCCCGCCCUGUCCCCGCCCAAUGUGUGCGGGGCGGCCCGGCCAUGGCGGGCGGUUACGAGCGGCUGAGCCCGAGCGGCGACAAGAAAUGCAGCCCUGAGGAAAAUGUUUUUUGCCUCAGUAAAUUAACAUAUGCCUGGUUUAGCAGUUUCAGUAGAAAGGAGGCCCAUAUGGAUAGUGAGGUCCACCCCCACUAGAAUUUUGUUACUUCCAACAAAAAGUUUCUGUAUCUUACUCUGCACACUGUGCUAAGCACAAUGGCACACACGUUAACACGAAGCCCAGCACUGGCACUGACUGGCACAGAAGUCUGCACUGGAAGCACGCUCUAGAGAAGAUGGACACUGCAUCUGCAUUUCAGCCCUCAGGGAGGAAAAUAACCAUCAGCCUAAAAGCAUUACAG